rnacentral:rRNA from 1 species
GAUGAACGCUGGCGGCGUGCUUAACACAUGCAAGUCGAACGGAAAGGCCCAAGCUUGCUUGGGUACUCGAGUGGCGAACGGGUGAGUAACACGUGGGUGAUCUGCCCUGCACUUCGGGAUAAGCCUGGGAAACUGGGUCUAAUACCGGAUAGGACCACUUCUUGGAUGUUGUGGUGGAAAGUUUUUUCGGUGUGGGAUGAGCUCGCGGCCUAUCAGCUUGUUGGUGGGGUAAUGGCCUACCAAGGCGUCGACGGGUAGCCGGCCUGAGAGGGUGUACGGCCACAUUGGGACUGAGAUACGGCCCAGACUCCUACGGGAGGCAGCAGUGGGGAAUAUUGCACAAUGGGCGCAAGCCUGAUGCAGCGACGCCGCGUGGGGGAUGACGGCCUUCGGGUUGUAAACUCCUUUCGCUAGGGACGAAGCGUUUUUGUGACGGUACCUGGAGAAGAAGCACCGGCGAACUACGU